GCGAAGUAUGCAAGUGGUCAAAGCACCGGGGCUCAUAACCCCAUACCGAAAGGUUACGCAGGUUCGAAUCCUGUCCUUCGCU
rnacentral:tRNA from 1 species